UACGUAGGGGGCUAGCGUUGUCCGGAUUUAUUGGGCGUAAAGAGCGUGUAGGCGGCCAGGUAGGUCUGCUGUGAAAACUCGAGGCUCAACCUCGAGACGUCGGCGGAAACCAUCUGGCUAGAGUCCGGAAGAGGAGAGUGGAAUUCCUGGUGUAGCGGUGAAAUGCGCAGAUAUCAGGAAGAACACCCGUGGCGAAGGCGGCACUCUGGGACGGUACUGACGCUGAGACGCGAAAGCGUGGGGAGCGAACAGG
rnacentral:rRNA from 1 species